rnacentral:rRNA from 1 species
CCUACGGGAGGCAGCAGUGAGGAAUAUUGGUCAAUGGACGAGAGUCUGAACCAGUCAAGUAGCGUGAAGGAUGACUGCCCUAUGGGUUGUAAACUUCUUUUAUAUGGGAAUAAAAUGUUCCACGUGUGGGAUUUUGUAUGUACCAUAUGAAUAAGGAUCGGCUAACUCCGUGCCAGCAGCCGCGGUAAUACGGAGGAUCCGAGCGUUAUCCGGAUUUAUUGGGUUUAAAGGGAGCGUAGGUGGAUUGUUAAGUCAGUUGUGAAAGUUUGCGGCUCAACCGUAAAAUUGCAGUUGAAACUGGCAGUCUUGAGUACAGGAGAGGUGGGCGGAAUUCGUGGUGUAGCGGUGAAAUGCUUAGAUAUCACGAAGAACUCCGAUUGCGAAGGCAGUUCACUGGACUGCAACUGACACUGAGGCUCGAAAGUGUGGGUAUCAAACAGGAUUAGAUACCCCUGUAGUC